CUGGAGGUAUCAGAAGUGCGAAUGCUGACAUAAGUAACGAUAAAGCGGGUGAAAAGCCCGCUCGCCGGAAGACCAAGGGUUCCUGUCCAACGUUAAUCGGGGCAGGGUGAGUCGACCCCUAAGGCGAGGCCGAAAGGCGUAGUCGAUGGGAAACGGGUUAAUAUUCCCGUACUUGGUGUUACUGCGAAGGGGGGACGGAGAAGGCUAUGUUGGCCGGGCGACGGUUGUCCCGGUUUAAGCGUGUAGGUGUGUGUUCCAGGUAAAUCCGGUUCACUUUAACACUGAGGCGUGACGACGAGGCACUACGGUGCUGAAGCAACAAAUGCCCUGCUUCCAGGAAAAGCCUCUAAGCAUCAGGUAACAUCAAAUCGUACCCCAAACCGACACAGGUGGUCAGGUAGAGAAUACCAAGGCGCUUGAGAGAACUCGGGUGAAGGAACUAGGCAAAAUGGUGCCGUAACUUCGGGAGAAGGCACGCUGACAUGUAGGUGAAGUGAUUUACUCAUGGAGCUGAAGUCAGUCGAAGAUACCAGCUGGCUGCAACUGUUUAUUAAAAACACAGCACUGUGCAAACACGAAAGUGGACGUAUACGGUGUGACGCCUGCCCGGUGCCGGAAGGUUAAUUGAUGGGGUCAGCGCAAGCGAAGCUCCUGAUCGAAGCCCCGGUAAACGGCGGCCGUAACUAUAACGGUCCUAAGGUAGCGAAAUUCCUUGUCGGGUAAGUUCCGACCUGCACGAAUGGCGUAAUGAUGGCCAGGCUGUCUCCACCCGAGACUCAGUGAAAUUGAACUCGCUGUGAAGAUGCAGUGUACCCGCGGCAAGACGGAAAGACCCCGUGAACCUUUACUAUAGCUUGACACUGAACAUUGAGCCUUGAUGUGUAGGAUAGGUGGGAGGCUUUGAAGUGUGGACGCCAGUCUGCAUGGAGCCG
rnacentral:rRNA from 2 species